rnacentral:lncRNA from 1 species
AUGAGGGAAACAAGUUACAAAAAAUGUUUAGAGUUGAGACUGGUUAGGAGGAGACUGUUGAUGGACCUGGCAGGCCUGGAGUGGGGCAGAGGUGGAGGGAUCGGGGGCAGAGGGGCUGGGGCCGCCCAGGUGCUGCUGUGGACACCCCUCCUGGCCCUUCCCCGCCAGCUGCAGGAGCCCAGCAGAGAGAGGACACCGCCGAAGCUGGAUGGCCACUGUGCAGAGCAGCCCGGGGUCAUGACGAAGGAGCUGGAGCUGGAGGUGCUGCGCCUGAGCCUGAGUGACAUGCACGCAGCACGGCUGGAGCGGACGCAGGCGCACUUGCAGCGCGAGAAGGAGGCAGCACUGGCCGAGCUGCACGCUGAGCUCACCGGGCGGCACGCACAGGAGCGGGCCCUGCUGCAGAGCCGUGCACGCCGGGAGCUGGAGCUGGUCCGCGAGGAGGCAGCUGAGCUGAAGGAGAAGCUACAAUCAGAAAUGGAAAAAAAUGCCCAGAUGAUAGAGAUUCUGAAGCAAGACUGGGAUUCUGAGAGAGACUCAUGUUUAGAAAACCUGCGCCAAGAAUUAUUGGAAAAGCAUCGGUCAGAACUGGAGAAUUUACAAAACCAGUUUAAGAAAGAAUUGGCACAACAAAAAGCUGAGUUGGAGAAGGUUUUUCAAGCCAAAAAUCAAGCUGAAUGUUCCCUUCAGACGCAGGAGGCGCAGCACGAGGCCUCCCUGAGCAAGCUCCGUGCAGACCUGCAGUUGGAGCACUGCCAGUACUUGGAGGAGCUGGAGCGGAAGUUCCAAAAGAAGGAGAAGGAGAACCAGCUGGAGCUGGAGAGGCUGCGUGCAUCCUAUGAGGAGCUACAGGCUCGGUCCCGGGAGGAGAUCCAGUGCCUGGGGGCCCAGCUUGAGUCCGCGAGGUCCAGCAGGCAGGAGCUGAGUGAGUUGCGUGAGCAGCUCCUGGCCCGGGCAUCUCACGUGGAGGAGCUGGAGCUCCUGAAGAGAGACUUGGAGCAGCAGCAGCAGCAGGAGAGGAGCCGGCACGAGUCUGAACUGGAGCAGCUGAGGCUCUAUUUUGAAGAGAAGCUGAGGGAGGCCGAGCGGAGCUACCAGGAGGACCUGACCCUGUUGCAGCGGCGGCUGCAGGAGGGGAGGGAUGACUCCCUGCUGGAGGCCAUGGGGACCAGUGCCUGUUUGGAAGAGACACCAGAAGAAGAAAGACACCAUCCUGACAGACUCAGCCUUCAGCGGGAGCAGCUUGAGGAGAGCCUGGGUUUGCGCACAUGGUUAGAAGAAAAGCACCAGUGCCAACUAGCAGCGGGGACGUCCUCCCAGGAUGCCCAGCUAGAAGCACUGGAAGGAGAGCUGCCUGCAGAGGGUUCGGAGGAGCCCGGCCGAGGUAUGUUUUUAAGUGCUCCUGUGGCAGCCAGCCUGCAGGGGUGUUCUGGGCUAUGACCGCAUCCCACGAGAGCCGCCGGCACUGCGCGUGCUGGCUGUUGACUCUGUAGCUGGGGUGCCGGAGGCCCUUCCCCAGGGUCGAGGAGCAGGCCCCGUGUGUCAGGAGAGGGUCUGCUUGGGCAGCAGUAUGGGGUCUCUGGGGGCCAUGGGGAUGGAGAAGCUGUGGUCAUCCCAGGCAUGGACUGGGGCCCAGGAGAGCGGAUGCACAGCUGGCCCUGGACCCGGAGCCCAGGAAAGGGUGGGUCCCGCAUCAGGCUGAG